rnacentral:tRNA from 2 species
GCGGGCGUCGUAUAAUGGUAUUACCUCAGCCUUCCAAGCUGAUGACGCGGGUUCGAUUCCCGCCGCCCGCUCCA